rnacentral:tRNA from 1 species
GCCGGUGUGUUGGAAUUGGCAGACGAGACGGACUCAAAAUCCGUUGGGAGCAAUCCCGUGUGGGUUCAAGUCCCACCACCGGCACCA